rnacentral:tRNA from 1 species
UACCUGGUGGUUCAGUGGUUAAAGCAUUUAGCUUCUAACUGGAAGGUCAGUUGUUCAAAUCCACCAGGUAU